UAGGGAAUCUUCGGCAAUGGACGAAAGUCUGACCGAGCAACGCCGCGUGAGUGAAGAAGGUUUUCGGAUCGUAAAACUCUGUUGUUAGAGAAGAACAAGGACGUUAGUAACUGAACGUCCCCUGACGGUAUCUAACCAGAAAGCCACGGCUAACUACGUGCCAGCAGCCGCGGUAAUACGUAGGUGGCAAGCGUUGUCCGGAUUUAUUGGGCGUAAAGCGAGCGCAGGCGGUUUCUUAAGUCUGAUGUGAAAGCCCCCGGCUCAACCGGGGAGGGUCAUUGGAAACUGGGAGACUUGAGUGCAGAAGAGGAAGGUGGAAUUCCAUGUGUAGCGGUGAAAUGCGUAGAUAUAUGGAGGAACACCAGUGGCGAAGGCGGCUCUCUGGUCUGUAACUGACACUGAGGCUCGAAAGCGUGGGGAGCAAACAGG
rnacentral:rRNA from 1 species